GCUAUGAGGGAGAUGAUGAGAGUCAGAAUUACUUCUAGAAACAAGUUAUGUAGAAGGUAUAAGGAACUUUCUAACUAUCUGUAAGAGGAAGCCCAGAUUAAAAACCAAAGAAAUGGAUUGCUGAAGAGACAAGAUGAGGAACUGCUGAAUAAUGAAACAAUAAGCAAUCUGCACUUGAAGGGAAUCCAAAAGAGAUCCAGAAGCUCAUCAGAUAAAAUUUGCCUCUACUUGCCAUUGGAUUUUUCCAUUUUAUACUCACAAAGUGUAUAUUCACAUUUGAAAACAUGUGAAGCAAAUAAAAAACUAAAAAUCUA